ACUCGUGACACUGCAGUCACAUGACAGAUUUGUAAAGAUGGCGUCGAAAGGUGGGCAGAUUGAUAUGCGCUCGCUAAAUGGGCCCCUCAGUGAUAUUGAAGCAAGGAAAACUCACCAUUUGGCGGUGUCGAGAGACUACAUUUCACAGCCAAGAAUAACCUACAAAACAGUGUCAGGUGUGAACGGACCUCUGGUUAUCUUGGAUGAUGUCAAGUUCCCCAAGUAUGCCGAGAUUGUCAAGUUGACGCUGGCCGAUGGCAGUCAGAGGAGUGGACAAGUGCUGGAAGUCAGCGGGUCAAAGGCCGUUGUACAGGUGUUCGAGGGCACAUCAGGCAUUGAUGCCAAGCACACAACAUGCGAGUUCACCGGCGACAUCUUGAGGAUGCCCGUGUCAGAGGACAUGUUGGGGAGAGUGUUCAAUGGUUCUGGCAAGCCCAUCGACAACGGUCCUCCCGUCCUGGCAGAGGACUUCCUGGACAUCCAAGGUCAGCCAAUCAACCCCUGGUCCAGGAUCUACCCCGAGGAGAUGAUACAGACCGGCAUCUCUGCCAUCGACACAAUGAACAGUAUUGCCCGUGGGCAGAAGAUCCCCAUCUUCUCUGCUGCUGGUCUACCACACAAUGAAAUUGCAGCCCAGAUCUGUCGCCAGGGCGGCCUGGUCAAGGUGCCAGGAAAGAGUGUGCUCGACGACCAUGAUGACAACUUUGCCAUUGUGUUUGCUGCUAUGGGCGUCAACAGAGAGACUGCUAGAUUCUUCAAACAUGACUUUGAAGAGAACGGUUCCAUGGAGAAUGUGUGCCUGUUCUUGAACUUGGCUAAUGAUCCCACGAUUGAGCGUAUCAUCAUGCCCCGUAUCGCCCUGACCGUGGCCGAGUUCCUGGCGUACCAGUGUGAGAAGCACGUGUUGGUCAUCCUCACCGACAUGAGCUCAUAUGCUGAGGCCUUGAGAGAGGUGUCGGCCGCCAGAGAGGAGGUGCCCGGUCGUCGUGGUUUCCCUGGUUACAUGUACACAGAUUUAGCCACCAUCUACGAGCGAGCAGGUCGUGUAGAGGGACGUAACGGCUCCAUCACACAGAUCCCCAUCCUCACCAUGCCCAACGAUGAUAUUACCCACCCUAUCCCAGAUUUGACAGGCUACAUCACAGAAGGUCAGAUCUACGUCGACCGACAGCUCCACAACAGACAGAUCUAUCCACCAAUCAACGUGCUACCCUCCCUGUCAAGAUUGAUGAAGUCCGCUAUCGGCGAAGGCAUGACAAGGGAAGACCACUCCGACGUGUCCAACCAGCUGUACGCGUGUUAUGCCAUCGGUAAGGACGUGCAGGCUAUGAAGGCCGUGGUGGGAGAGGAAGCCUUGUCCCCCGAAGAUCUCCUCUAUCUAGAGUUCCUCACCAAGUUCGAGAAAAACUUCAUCUCUCAAGGUCAUUAUGAGAACAGAACAAUCUUCGAAUCUCUGGAUAUUGGUUGGCAGUUACUGCGUAUUUUCCCCAAAGAAAUGCUGAAGCGUAUCCCUGCAGCCACGCUAGCCAAAUACUACCCCAGGGACGCCUCCCGUUCACACGCUAACGCUGCUAAGGAUCAGGUCACAUCCUUGUAAUGUCAAUCAUCUGUAACCAUGGUAGCACAACUCUCCUGAGCUUGCAGUAUUUACAGUGGCAGACUGAGUCGAGGCAGAACACUGAACAACGUGGAACUGAGAGAACGAUAGUAUAGAUUAAUAAACAAAAUCAGAAAAUGUUUACAUUCAAAUUUGGACUUUGUGAUAUCAAACACACUCUUUUUAUUUUAUGAACUUAACUAGUAUUGCUUUAUAUCAAAUUAAUAUUCAAUACUAUUCAAAGUGAAAUAUCUGUUUUGUUCAAAGCUGAGCUGUUCAACAAAGUCUUGUAAAACCUUUGAUAUUAUUCCAACAAGUAACUUGACGUAUGCUGGUGCAAGUUGUGCGUGUGACAAUGUUCAUGGGUUGUCCCACAGUGCCAGCUGACACACUGGAGUCUGAUAUAGUAAUAUAUACAUGUGUGUGAACCAGGUUUUCAUGUUCUAGAAGAAUUUAACUACACAAUGUGUCAUAGGAUGAUUUUCUCUGUCAAUAGUUGAUGGUUUAGAAGCCAAUGUGCAACAUUCUAGAUGAUACAAGACAUGUUUGCUCAUUGUCUGAAGAUGGAGGAGAGAAUGUGGAUGCUGAUUGGCUGAUUGAAGUGAUGAUUAUUGCUCACAACCGAGUCAUUAACAUUGGAAUAUUCUGACAUGAACGUAAUGAAACACUUGCUAACACUGUUAUAGAGAUUUAUGUAUAUGAAGUUAUCAGUGCUAUUACACUACUCAAAACAAGUUAAGGUCCACCUGUUUAUAUCAUAAGACGAUACUUAGUCUGUGACUUGACACAGGAAUGAUAGCAGUAGGGAAGGAUCAGAUUGUCCUUAUCCUAUUUUGAGUAGUAUAUCUUAGGAAUGGAGACAUUUUUAGCUCUUUCGUGAUGAUCAAAUUACAGGUUUAUUCUUUAAGUACCAUCUAUGUUUUGUUGUCUGUGAUUUUCGAUUUAAUAAGGAACCAACAGGUCACGCUUAUUCUGUCAUGACACUGAAAUGCUAGUCAUUAUUGCUAAUGUCUCGGAACGUGUACCAGUAAACUAGACGCCUUUAGGUAGAGAUGACAAGCUGUGUUUUUGUGAAUUUGUCCACCUGAGUAAACGACAUUCCAUUGUUUGAAAGUGCUCUGACAGGUGUGUAGUUACAAAGAGUGCAGAGAAACUUGACCUUCUUUAAACUAACCAAGUUCAUGAGAUCAACUCAUUGUGUGUCACUCAUUAAUUGUUUCAAUUUGAAGAUAACAUGUACUUUGAUUUAAACACUAGUGGGUUAGAGGGCUGACAAGCAUUAUGUCCACAAGUUAAGGGAACUAUGUAUAUUAACAUUAUCAAUACCCUUGGUUGCUUGUCUACAUAAGUAUGUUUGAUUGCGGUUGUACAUAAUUGUGUCUGUAAUGUGUGAGAUUAAUUAAUUUGCAUUGUUUAUACAUCAUUUCACUAAGUGAAUCUGUCCAUGUUUCGAGUUUAUUUUUUUUGCAAUAUUUUUGUUUUGGUUCCAACAAAGUUCUUUUUUGGAUAUUUGUUCUAUGGCUCAUUGAUGUUAUUACUUCUUUUGCGUUAAAUUUUGAAUAUAUGUUUUGCUGCUCCCAAUAAGACUAAUGUAUUAUUAGAAGCAUUCUAGAAAAAUAGUUGCAUGCAAAACUGUAUCUUAUUUUGAGAGAAAGUUAACAUUAUGGCUUAUUUUUUCAGAUGAAAACGAUUUGAAUCAAUUUCUCAUUGCAUACCAUCGUACCAUAUUUAUGGUAGAACACCACCUUGUGAGUUAGACUUGUACUAAGGGGAGACAACACCAGAUUUCACUGUGAUAUAUGUGUUAUGUAGAGACUAUAUAUAGGCUUCUCAUCAAAUGGCUGUGUAUUUGACUAACAUGUAGAUUGUUGUUUCUGUAUAUAGAGAGUUUUCCAUCACUUGACCUAGACAGCUAGAGAACAGUAGCUUGAGGCACAAUUGUCGCCAUGUAUGUUAGGUGGGUUAGAACUGUCAGAACUUAAAAUAUUGUCACCCUGAAUGAAAUCUUGUCACAUGAUCUGUACAUUAGCUUUGGAGAUUUCUCACAUCUAUUUCUUGGUGUAGCCAAGUAUUGAUGUUUUAUCUAUUGAUUGGCAAAGGAUUAAGAGCCAGCUGUUUAAGGGCUGAAAUGUUGAUUAAAGUUCGCUGUGUUUAUUGAUUUGUUUGCCAACUCAAGUCAAUAAAGAUGAAAAGUCAGUUUUUGAGAAGCAGCUGUAUUACUGAUAAAGAUGAAGUAUUGAAGAAUCAAUGUUAGGAUUUUUUCUAAGCUGUUAUAUCCUGCUGUGUAAUACAGCGAUGUGUUUCCAUGUCCCACCCCAGUACAUCCAUGUAGUGGCCCUCCUCUGCAUGUCCCAGUGUGCACCGAUAGUUGUACUUCAUCGGUGUCUUGUCUAGAGGUUGCCCCUGGUACAGACACAUUGGAUGGAUCACCAUUCCACAGGAAGAUCUUAUAGUGAUGGCCAUGGAAAGGUUGUUGUCCAGAGAUGGUAUUAUUGGACACAAGGGUGCCUACUCACAGGAGAUCAUUAUAAUGUGAAGGCAUCUUGUGGAGAGCCACCAGACAAGGCCUGGACUCCAACAAGAUACAACCAAAGGCUGAUCCAGGACUUUGAGGAUGGUAAACAAACCACUCAUCCAUUAUUACCUGAGAGAAAGGGGAAAACAGUCAAGGGAAAUCAUGGAUGACCAGUAUCUAGCCUUGGGGCUUACACUAUUAGGUGUGAACACCCCUCCUGACAGCCCUGAACUUGUGGAAAAGUAGCAGAAUCUGUAGCAGGUGGUGAAUGUGAGGUAGACGUUGUAGAUUCACGUUACGCAUGGUGGACAUGCUGUUUUGUCCUUCAGUGGGUAUCGGGUGCCAAGAUACCUUGUAGGGUGAAUGUAUGAGACGGGUACACUGGAUGGUGUCAUCCUAUCCUGGGUUUGGGGUACCUAGACACCCAGCAGGGUGAGGGAGAUGGGUACCUAGAUAUCCUGUAGGUAGAUCAGGUAAUCAGAAUGUGUAUAUUUGUAUCAGCUCUAUCUGUCUGUUAGUCCAUUGUACACUGGAGUACUUGAAUAAAGCAGUGCAAACAC
rnacentral:misc_RNA from 1 species